CCUACGGGUGGCAGCAGUGAGGAAUAUUGGUCAAUGGGCGCGAGCCUGAACCAGCCAAGUAGCGUGAAGGAUGACUGCCCUACGGGUUGUAAACUUCUUUUAUAAAGGAAUAAGUUAGGCACGUGUGCCUUUUUGUAUGUACUUUAUGAAUAAGGAUCUGCUAACUCCGUGCCAGCAGCCGCGGUAAUACGGAUGAUCCGGUCGUUAUACGGAUUUAUUGGGUUUAAAGGGAGCGUAGAUGGGUUGUUAAGUCAGUUGGUGAAGUUUUCGGCUCAACCGUAAAAUUGCAAUUGAUACUGGCAGUCUUGAGUACAGUGGAGGUAGGCGGAAUUCGUGGUGUAGCGGUGAAAUGCUUAGAGAUCACGAAGAACUCCGAUUGCGAAGGCAGCUUACUAAACUGCCACUGACAUUGAUGCUCGAAAGUGUGGGUAUCAAACAGGAUUAGAUACCCUUGUAGUC
rnacentral:rRNA from 1 species